GUGCUCACAUUGGCAGCACCUGGACUAAAGUUGGAAUGAUGCAGAGAAGAUUACCAUGGCCCCUGCAUGAAGAUGACACAAAAUUUAUGAAGCACUCAUAUUUUUU
rnacentral:snRNA from 1 species